GACGAACUGUCCUAACGUUGUUCGGAAUCACUGGGCUUAAAGGGCGCGUAGGCGGUCGAUCAAGUCAGGGGUGAAAUCCUGCAGCUUAACUGUAGAAGUGCCUCUGAUACUGAUCGUCUUGAGGGAGAUAGGGGUGUGCGGAACUUCCAGUGGAGCGGUGAAAUGCGUUGAUAUUGGAAGGAACGCCGGAGGCGAAAGCGGCGCACUGGAUCUCUUCUGACGCUGAGGCGCGAAAGCUAGGGGAGCAAACGGG
rnacentral:rRNA from 1 species